AUGGCUUCACAUGAUACUCCCGGUGCUGCUACGGCGGGGUCGCAGGAGAUCGACGACGUGGAGGCAAUGAUGAAGGAACUAGGUCUUUGUGAGGAGGACCUGGAUGACGUGGUUUUUGAUGAGGAUUCUGCACCACCAGAGGCUGCUCGAUGGAUUGCCCUAGCUAGGGUCCAUUGCACCAAAACCUAUAGCCAAUAUUGGUUCUUCAGGAAUAUGAGGGCAGCGUGGGAUUUGGCCCAAGAUGUGAAGUUCAAACCGCUGGAGGAUAACCUAUACACGAUCCAAUUCUCGUGUCUAGGGGAUUGGGAGAGAGUCACCCAGGAAGGACCUUGGCACUUCAGGGGUGAUGCGGUCAUCCUUAAACCCUACGGCGGUUUAGCAAAGCCAUCGACUGUCCCACUGGAUUCCAUUGAAAUCUGGAUACAAGUUCAUGAUAUUCCGCCUCUUUAUGCCCAUCUGGUGCCAUCUCUAGCGGCGAAGGUGGGUGAAGUUCUCUAUGCCGAGCCCCAAUCGCUAGACUUUACAGGCAAUUUCCAUCGAGUGUGGGUACGGAUCAAUGUCACGAAACCCCUGAAAAAUGCAGUGUCAAUGAUAAGAGAUGGAAAACGGCAGAUAUACAGAGUUAAAUAUGAAAAGCUCCCGGAUUGGUGUGCUGUUUGCGGCAUGUUGGGGCAUCUCUUCAAGGAGCACGGUUCGGGAAUCCACCCACCAUCAGCUUUAAUUUUCAAGAACCUCUGA
rnacentral:rRNA from 1 species